rnacentral:rRNA from 1 species
CCCUUAGAUGUCCGGGGCCGCACGCGCGCUACACUGAAGGAAUCAGCGUGGCUUUCUCCCUGACCCGAAAGGGUUGGGAAACCCGUUGAAUCUCCUUCGUGAUAGGGAUUGGGGCUUGAAAUUGUUCCCCAUGAACGAGGAAUUCCCAGUAAGCGCGAGUCAUAAGCUCGCGUUGAUUACGUCCCUGCCCUUUGUACACACCGCCCGUCGCUACUACCGAUUGAACGGUUUAGUGAGGGCCUCGGAUUGGUGUCGGCCCGCUCUUUACCGGGCGGCGCCGUUGGUCGAGAAGACGCUCGAACUUGAUCGUUUAGAGGAAGUAAAAGUCGUAACA